AUGAAAAACAAAACAGAAGAGCAAAAAUAUCCCAAAGGCAGCACAGGAGUCAACGUCCCAGGAGAAAGCAGAAAUGUUUCUUUGGAACCUGUACAUUUCAGCAGCAGAAAAUUUCCACCUGUAUCUAUGUGGCCUGAAUUGAAUCACAGAACCCAUAUCUGUGACCAUAGGAAAACCAUAUGCAGCUUGGUAAACAAGACUCAGAGAUUUGGACUCUGCCCCUUCCUCAAUGGUGGAAGAGAAGUAACAGUGAAGUUGGAGCAUUUCUGGUGGCACUUUUUCUGAUUGCGUUUUUGCCCUGGCAGGCUGCUGUGGUUUGUAGCGAGAGUGGCUGAAGCCUUGAGAAGUGGCGAUGAAGACUCAGGAACCACAGUGUUUACUAAAAGGAAAAGAAAGAGAAAGUUGGCCACUGUGCACUUACCCAAUUGUUUUUAUGAUGUCGUUAGAACAAGGAAAAUGAUGCUCACAGCCGCAUUCUAGCAUGUGUAUGUGUGUUGGGUGGGAAGGCUGAAGAGGGAAGAAGGCAGGCAGGGUGCUCCAGUGACCUGGAUAAAGUUACUCAAUUACAACACUUCAUUUUUCUCUAAAUCACCAUCAAGUGAAAAAAAUAAUCCAAAAUCAGGACAGGGGAAUGGAAAAGUUUCGUAGUCUGGGACUGUAUGAGAUAGUAUGAGACAAAUUCAUAACAAAAUGGAGACAUCAUUAGCUCUAAAAGGAUCCUUAAGAACGUUAUUUAUUUUGUUUGAAAUAUAUGAGAAAAAAGUAAGUGGGAUUUGAAACAUGUCUUUUUUGAAUACUCUUUAACAGUUCUUGUGGCACACAGCCUCUUGAGUUUACACAAUGACGGUUCUGAAAUUUGAAGCUAAAAGAAAUAUCCAACAUCUAGGGAUGAGAUGAUUCACUUUCUGCACGCACAGCAAACACCAACAUUCAGCACAAAGGUAGUAAGGAACUCACAGUAAUAAUCCAAGGUUACCUGGAGGGGGGGAACCCUAAAAUAAUAUUUUUGUUUUUCAAAAUGUGGAUUUUUCUUUCCCUCUCUGAGUCUGCCUUCUCAUCACUGAACAGGAGGGGAAAACAUCAGUGUCUACAAGAACACCACAAGAUUAAUUAAUGAAUUUUAUAAAGGGUUUGUGUAAACACUUGCAGGUUUUUAGAAGGGAAAUAAUAUUGACUCGUGUUGUAUCCUAUGCCCAAUAAUGUGAAAUGACUUCUCCUUGGUUAUGGUGUUAAAGGAAUUGGAAAAUCCAAAACUUUUCAUUGAAAAUAACCUGCUUUCUGAGGCAAAGAUUGGCUUUGUUUUAAAACAUGCUAGUUUUACCCUGACUUUGGUGAAUGAGCUAAUGCAAUGAUAAUAAGGCAAGGCGGUUAAAAAAGUGCUAAAAAAGUUGGAAUUCAGAAACUUGACAUGGGCUUUAGGCACUCAUUAAUUUAUGAUAUGCUUGAUAGCCUGUCUUUUGUAGGAAGGGGUAGUUACACACAUCUUAAAACCUGGAUUGAAGGUUGAAUAUCAGUGUAUUUAAUUAGCUGAAUAGCAAUUCCUAUAAAUUCCUCAAUAUUCUAAAUAUGUCCAUACCAAUUUAAAAAAUUAUCUUAACUCCUUGUUUCCUAAGAUCUCAAAGUAUUUAACACAUAAAUUAUCUCAUAUAUUGUGAAAAUAUUCCUGUGAAGUAAGAUAGUACUUUUGAUAUUAGCUUGACUUUUAGAAACUAAAGGAUCACAGAUUCAUGCAAAGGUUCCCUGAAAUUAAAGCAGAUGUUUGAAAGUUAACCAGGUAUGAUCUUCCUUUGGUGUUGAAGGCAUACAAAGAUGAGAGUUUAAAUUUUUCCAAAAUGAACUUUUUCCUGAUUUAACUUUUGCUUUCCUUCCUAAUUAUUUGUCUUUUAUCUAUGGGGUUAGAGUUAAAAGAAUAGUAAUUAAUUUAUCCCUUUCAUUUACUAGAGCAAUAAAAUAACCUGAAAAGUACUCUGCGCUCA
rnacentral:lncRNA from 12 species